UGAAUACGAGACGCUACGGCGUCGAAGCAGUCUAUGUCAUACUUCCAAGAAAAGCUCGCAAUGUCAUAAACAAAUAAUGCCUGUACCAUAACCGACACAGGUGGGUAGGUAGAGUAUACUAAGGGGCGCGAGAUAACUCUCUCUAAGGAACUCGGCAAAAUGACUCCGUAACUUCGGGAGAAGGAGUGCCUUAUUUAUAAGGUUGCAAUAACAAGAUCCAAGCAACUGUUUAUCAAAAACACAGGUCUCCGCUAAGUCGUAAGACGAUGUAUGGGGGCUGACGCCUGCCCAGUGCCAGAAGGUUAAAGAAGUCGGUUAGCAUUCGCGAAGCUGAUAACUGAAGCCCUGGUGAACGGCGGCCGUAAUAACGGUCCUAAGGUAGCGAAAUUCCUUGUCGGGUAAGUUCCGACCCGCACGAAAGGCGUAAUGAUUUGGAUACUGUCUCGGAGAGGGGCUCGGUGAAAUAGACUUGUCUGUGAAGAUGCGGACUACCUGCACCUGGACAGAAAGACCCUAUGAAGCUUUACUGUAACUUGAAAUUGAAAUUGGACUUUAUUUGCGCAGCAUAGGUGGGAGGCGUUGAGAGUAUUCUUGCGGGAAUAUUGGAGCCAUCAGUGAGAUACCACUCUUGUAAUGUUAGAUUUCUAACUUUGUAUCAUUAUCUGGUCAAAGAACAGUUUCAGGCGGGCAGUUUGACUGGGGCGGUCGCCUCCCAAACGGUAACGGAGGCGUACAAAGGUUUCCUCUGAACGGGUAGAAAUCGUAUCUAGAGUGUAAAGGCAUAAGGAAGCUUGACUGUGAGACCUACAAGUCGAGCAGGGACGAAAGUCGGUCUUAGUGAUCUGACGGUGCUGAGUGGAAAGGCCGUCACUCAACGGAUAAAAGUUACUCUAAGGAUAACAGGCUGAUCUCCCCCAAGAGUUCACAUCGACGGGGAGGUUUGGCACCUCGAUGUCGGCUCAUCGCAUCCUGGGGCGGUAGUACGUCCCAAGGGUUGGGCUGUUCGCCCAUGAAAGCGGUACGCGAGCUGGGUUCAGAACGUCGUGAGACAGUUCGGUCCAUAUCCGGUGUAGGCGUUAGAAUAUUGAGAGGAGCCUUCUUUAGUACGAGAGGACCGAGAAGGACAUACCUCUGGUGUACCAGUUAUCGUGCCAACGGUAAACGCUGGGUAGCUAUGUAUGGAGAGGAUAACCGCUGAAAGCAUCUAAGUGGGAAGCCCACCUCAAGAUAAG
rnacentral:rRNA from 1 species